CGUAAGGAACUUGCCUCUUGGACUGGGACAACUGUUGGAAACGACAGCUAAUACCGGAUAUUAUGAGAUUCUCGCAUGAGAAACUUAUGAAAGCUAUAUGCGCCAAGAGAGAGCCUUGCGUUCCAUUAGCUAGUUGGUGGGGUAACGGCCCACCAAGGCGACGAUGGAUAGCCGGCCUGAGAGGGUGAACGGCCACAAGGGGACUGAGACACGGCCCUUACUCCUACGGGAGGCAGCAGUGGGGAAUAUUGGACAAUGGGCCACAAGCCUGAUCCAGCAAUUCUGUGUGCACGAUGAAGGUCUUCGGAUUGUAAAGUGCUUUCAGUUGGGAAGAAGAAAGUGACGGUACCAACAGAAGAAGCGACGGCUAAAUACGUGCCAGCAGCCGCGGUAAUACGUAUGUCGCAAGCGUUAUCCGGAUUUAUUGGGCGUAAAGCGCGUCUAGGCGGAAAAAUAAGUCUGAUGUUAAAAUGCGGGGCUCAACUCCGUAUUGCGUUGGAAACUGUUUUUCUAGAGUACUGGAGAGGUGGGCGGAACUACAAGUGUAGAGGUGAAAUUCGUAGAUAUUUGUAGGAAUGCCGAUGGAGAAGUCAGCUCACUGGACAGAUACUGACGCUGAA
rnacentral:rRNA from 1 species